rnacentral:rRNA from 1 species
UACGGGGGGGAGCAAGCGUUGUUCGGAUUUACUGGGCGUAAAGGGCGCGUAGGCGGUCAGCACAAGUCAGUUGUGAAAUCUCCGGGCUUAACUCGGAAAGGUCAACUGAUACUGUGCGACUAGAGUGCAGAAGGGGCAACUGGAAUUCUCGGUGUAGCGGUGAAAUGCGCAGAUAUUAGGAAGAACACCAGUGGCGAAGGCGGCUCACUGGCCCGGUACUGACGCUGAGGUGCGAAAGCGUGGGGAGCAAACAGG